rnacentral:lncRNA from 1 species
AUACUACUACAAGUCUCCUCCUCCGCCAUCCCCAUCUCCACCACCCCCUACUACUACAAGUCGCCACCCCCUCCUUCGCCGUCUCCUCCACCACCGUACUACUACAAGUCGCCUCCCCCCUCCUUCCCCGUCUCCUCCACCACCGUACUACUACAAGUCGCCUCCCCCUCCUUCGCCAUCUCCUCCACCACCGUACUACUACAAGUCUCCACCCCCUCCGUCGCCAUCUCCUCCACCUCACUACCUCUAUUCGUCCCCACCUCCACCGAUCCACUACUAAUAUCUCAAUCGGAGGUCAUCGCCCGUCCUCCUCCAUUGGGUAAGUUCUUUUAUUAUGGAUUUCGUUGUUUUAUCUAAUUUCUUAUUAAUUCCUUUUUUCAGCACGCAAACGCUUGUCUUUCUCAUUGUCUCCACGACUUAUGUUUUCAGGAUCCGUGAGUCGUGUAAUAAGAGAAGGAUGGAUAAGAGGAAAGUCCUUGUUGCAUCAGAAUCCCCCUCCCCGGUCGCGGAAUAAUGACCUCAAGGGCAGGCUGCGGGGCUCCUACCUCGAAUUGGAUGGGGGGGCUCUCAUGGCAGCCUUCUUGCAUGUCAUGGUGUUAGCCUCUUCGGGAAGGAGCAGACAACCUCAGCCUAGGGUCUUCCUAGUGGCUGAAUGAGACGAACACGAGUGAUAUUUGUGGAUUUUUCCUGAUUUUCUUGAGCAUAGAUGAUAAUAACCCUUUGAUGUAACUUAAUUUCGUUGUAUUCGUUUCCCCCCUUGGCGUUGUGUAGGUUUUCUUGUGCUCUGUGCACUGAUCGACCAAUAAACACCGAUCACAUUCCAUAUCUACGCAUCUUCCAACUGGCUUCUUCAUCCUCUUCCUUCUCCCCUGACCUCUGAGCGAUUAUCUAAUCCUUCCGCCUCUGACGGAGACGAAUGUAGAGCGACCUAAGAAAUUACUGCAUUCGAACGCUAGGCUUCACCAGGAGACAGAUCGCUCAGACUUUACAGCUGUUGGCAACUGCGACCAGAUUGGCCUUU